UACGUAGGGUGCAAGCGUUGUCCGGAAUUAUUGGGCGUAAAGAGCUCGUAGGCGGUCUGUCGCGUCUGCUGUGAAAACUCAGGGCUUAACCCUGAGCUUGCAGUGGAUACGGGCAGGCUUGAGUUCGGUAGGGGAGACUGGAAUUCCUGGUGUAGCGGUGAAAUGCGCAGAUAUCGGGAGGAACACCGGUGGCGAAGGCGGUUCUCUGGGCCUGUACUGACGCUGAGGAGCGAAAGCGUGGGGAGCGAACAGG
rnacentral:rRNA from 1 species